rnacentral:rRNA from 1 species
AUUGAACGCUGGCGGCAGGCCUAACACAUGCAAGUCGAGCGGUAGAGAGAAGCUUGCUUCUCUUGAGAGCGGCGGACGGGUGAGUAAAGCCUAGGAAUCUGCCUGGUAGUGGGGGAUAACGUUCGGAAACGGACGCUAAUACCGCAUACGUCCUACGGGAGAAAGCAGGGGAUCUUCGGGCCUUGCGCUAUCAGAUGAGCCUAGGUCGGAUUAGCUAGUUGGUGAGGUGAUGGCUCACCAAGGCGACGAUCCGUAACUGGUCUGAUAGGAUGAUCAGUCACACUGGAACUGAGACACGGUCUAGACUCCUACGGGAGGCAGCAGUGGGGAAUAUUGGACAAUGGGCGAAAGCCUGAUCCAGCCAUGCCGCGUGUGUGAAGAAGGUCUUCGGAUUGUAAAGCACUUUAAGUUGGGAGGAAGGGCAUUAACCUAAUACGUUAGUGUUUUGACGUUACCGACAGAAUAAGCACCGGCUAACUCUGUGCCAGCAGCCGCCGUAA